ACUCAAUAGAUACCCGGGUAGUCCACGCCCUAAACGAUGUCUACUAGUUGUCGGGUCUUAAUUGACUUGGUAAACGCAGCUAAACGCGUGAAGUAGACCGCCUGGGGAGUACGGUCGCAAGAUUAAAACUCAAAGGAAUUGACGGGGACCCGCACAAGCGGUGGAUGGUGUGGAUUAAUUCGAUGCAACGCGAAAAACCUUACCUACCCUUGACAUGGAUGGAAUCCCUGAGAGAUUGGGGAGUGCUCGAAAGAGAACCAUUACACAGGUGCUGCAUGGCUGUCGUCAGCUCGUGUCGUGAGAUGUUGGGUUAAGUCCCGCAACGAGCGCAACCCUUGUCAUUAGUUGCUACGAAAGGGCACUCUAAUGAGACUGCCGGUGACAAACCGGAGGAAGGUGGGGAUGACGUCAAGUCCUCAUGGCCCUUAUGGGUAGGGCUUCACACGUCAUACAAUGGUACAUACAGAGGGCCGCAACCCGCGAGGGGGUAGCUAAUCCCAGAAAGUGUAUCGUAGUCCGGAUUGUAGUCUGCAACUCG
rnacentral:rRNA from 1 species